rnacentral:lncRNA from 1 species
CUAAUUGUAGAUUUUUGAGAUAAAAAAAACUGAAAAUAAAAAACAUAGCUUAGAAAUCCAGCAAAAGAUACUGUUUCAUUAAGUUUUCAGUAGUUCUGAUUCUCUUCCAAUUCCUGAAACUAUUUGGAUUUAUCUGGUUGAGAGGUAGUUUAAACUUGUUCAUUAAAGAUUAGAGUUAUACUUAGCUGGUUUACUGUUCGAUUGGUUUAAUUUUAAAACAUUUCAAAUCGUUUAGUUGGGCUGAUUUUGUUGUUGAUUCAGUACUGCUUGCUGAUUACUCCUUCUCUACCUUUGUCUUCAAAUUUCCAGGUACAAGCUUGAACUCUUCAUGAUGUAAAGUCUAAUUUGGAGAUGAAAUGAAAAGCUCUCUUAUUACUUAGUUUUUUUUGUACCAAAUGCUCAUAUCUCCUUUACUUAUUCAGAUUAUAGUCUUAAUUGAUUUUCGUUAGUUAACAAAUUCUCGCAUUUUAGUUAAUCAUGGACUGUUG